AUCUUGUGUUGUUGAGGCUGAGGACUGACUUGGGUUCUGAGACUCCCUGUCCCGGACCGCAGUGUUAAAAGGAUCUGAACAAAGUCUGCUCAAAUCUCCUGCUGUGAACCAGCAGAAUUUUUGAACAGGUUUCUUCACAUAUAAAAAUCUAUUGUAAAAAUACGGAAAAGAAUGGCAGCGGAAACGCAGACACUGAACUUUGGGCCUGAAUGGUGAGUUUUCAAAAUCUCAUCUUCUUUGAUAUUGGAUGACUAAUACAGUAGUAAAGUAUUUGACAGGUGCUAGGUGGUUUAUAAAUGUGCAUGUUUUUGAGACUUUUGCUUUAUGUGCCUCGCUGAAAACAAUGCGUUAGUUCAGGAAUAAAUUAUAUUUGGUAAAUGAGUGUAUUCUAUACUUAAUUAAAUUUUUUUUUCUUUGUCUGGUUAUAUAUGUAAUGAUGGCGGGAGUCCCACCCGCGCUAGAAAAUUAUUUUCUUUUUAUUUGAGUCAUUGUCUAGGUGCAUAUACAAUUUUAUGUAAGUAUAAUUAUAACAUUUUUAUGUCUAUGUUUUCUGCUACAUU
rnacentral:sRNA from 1 species